GGAGAAAAAGAGAAGGACCUAUUGGAUAUAAUUAGAGCCAACAUGGAAUGAGAAGAAGAUGGG
rnacentral:sRNA from 1 species